UACGGGGGGGGCAAGCGUUGUUCGGAAUUACUGGGCGUAAAGGGCGCGUAGGCGGUGCUCUAAGUCGGAUGUGAAAACUCUGGGCUCAACCCAGAGCCUGCAUCCGAAACUGGAGUGCUAGAGUUCUGGAGGGGGUAGCGGAAUUCCAGGUGUAGCGGUGAAAUGCGUAGAUAUCUGGAGGAAUACCGGUGGCGAAGGCGGCAUCCUGGACCGACAUUGACGCUGAACGGCGAAAGCUAGGGGAGCAAACGGG
rnacentral:rRNA from 1 species